rnacentral:rRNA from 1 species
GUGCACAUGGUGGAUGCCUUGGCGAUUACAGGCGAUGAAGGACGUGGUAGCCUGCGAAAAGCUACGGGGAGCUGGCAAACGAGCUUUGAUCCGUAGAUAUCCGAAUGGGGAAACCCGGCGCGCAAGCGUCACUCCCACCUGAAUAUAUAGGGUGGGUAGAGCGAACGCAGCGAACUGAAACAUCUAAGUAGCUGCAGGAAAAGAAAUCAACCGAGAUUCCCAAAGUAGUGGCGAGCGAAAUGGGAAGAGCCUGUAUGUGAUAGUCAACUGGUUAGUGGAACGGAAUGGAAAGUCCGGCGAUAGAGGGUGAUAGCCCCGUACACGAAAACUGGUUGGUGGUACUGAGCAUACGACAAGUAGGGCGGGGCACGAGAAACCCUGUCUGAACAUGGGGGGACCAUCCUCCAAGGCUAAAUACUCGUAAUCGACCGAUAGUGAACCAGUACCGUGAGG